rnacentral:lncRNA from 1 species
GUUUACCUCUCUGCAGCCGCUAGCCUUCCAACCAGCUCCUUCUGCGAGACGGCCUCUUUGCUCAGGGCCUCCCUGCAUCAGAGAAAAAUGAGUGAUGUGCCUGCUCAUCUCAGUGACCUGCUUGUCCCUAAGUGACCUCAUCUCUCGGUGGCCUCUUCUCAGCUAAGGAAGACACCCCCAGAACCCAUCUAGGGAGGAGUAGCUGCCAGACAAGGAGAGUGGAAUUUCAGCCUUUACAUUGAGGUGUAGCUGGAGCAAGAGCAGAGCUCAUUCCUGGAGAGAGCCACCACCCAGGAAUAAGCUAUGAGAAGAAACAUCACCAACCAAGCUUUCGGAGAAACCCACAUGCCUGUGACUGCCUCAGCCUAUAGUCUCUGGGGUGAUAUGAGGAAAGGAUUCCUAACCGAUCCAUGCCUGAGCUCCAUCACCAGUGUCUCCUAUGUUACCUACAAAGUUGAAAACAUCCCGAUACCAACUUGCCCACUCCCCAUUGUUUACACAUGGAUACCCUUGGGCUAUAAUAUGAGGCGGGCUAUUGCUGUGCCCAAUAUAUGGUCCAGUCAGGUCUCCGACUUUUAUCAUCAACUCGAGAGCCUGUUCCCAGAUGCCGUGGCACCCAACGAAUUUCCCUGUAGUCUCAAGGCAAUCCUACCCUCAUUCUUUUAAUUUUUCUUUCUUUGGCCAAUGACAUUUUCAGCCAUUGUCCCCAAGUUCAGUACUAGAUUCUAACCUGCCUGGAAGGGUAGAAGAGGCCUUGGGAUGGUGUGUGAGCAGCCCAGAUACCUGUCAGUCCAGCCCUCAAAUGUUUGCCCCUUCAACCCAGCAACCCCAACUGCCUACCCUGAAGAAUCCACUACGGCCUCUUGGAGCAGCUGGUGGGAUGUUCAGAGCUGUAUCCUUUGAGCCAGCAGCCAGCCUCUACUGCCUGAAGGGUCUCAGCCAUGAUGCCCCACUCCCCAUGCUCACAUGCCUUUCUGGCCUUCAAGGGGCCCAUUGGUUCUUUUGUUUUUCUCUUUUUUUCUUCUGAACUCAUUAUUGGCACCUUUACUCCCAGCUUCUGUUCCGGACCAGUUAUCACUUGUCGUCUACCUGGGCAGAUAAAUUUUGUAUAUAAAUUAACAAACAAACAAACAAACAAAACUACACAACCACUAAGCUGAGAAACCUGUAAACUAUCAAGAUCCACCACCUACACUAGGCCCUCUUUUGCACUGAAAUGGAUCUCACUGUUCAGUACCUGGGCAUCCUGUGUACUACCGAGUCCCCAGUGCUUAUACAUGAAUGCCCUGGGGCAGUUAUCUCAGGUGGCUUCUUCCUAUGCCCUCAGUGUGGUCAAGGGAGGCCACCAGCUUUUAUCACCAACUCGAGAGCCAGUACCCAGAUACCAUGGAGUCCAAUAUGUUACCUUGUUUCAUGGGAUUCCCACCCCUGACUUCCUCAGGCUUUCCAAGCCUCUGCCCAGUCCUCUUCCCUCAGAGAAGGUCCUUUACUCCCUGGCUGCCAUGUAGUGACCCCAGAGCAUCCUGGCAUCACAGAACCCAGCAGGCACUCCCUGAAAUCUCUUGAAAAGCCCCACUUAAUGGAGGAUGGACUUGGGGCGGGGGUAGAGAGGGGAAACAGGUUCACUGCACACACACCCCAUAUUGUUUCCUCUCAAGAGCUGGUAACACCGUCCC